rnacentral:lncRNA from 1 species
ACAUUUAGCGGUAGAUACUAAAUCUGCUAAAUCGAAGUGCUGCAAAACUGCCUAUUUAGAUCUGCAAGAAUGGAAAGUUAGUGGUUUAAAUUUCUAAACGGGAAGGGUCAUGGCUUCCCCGAAAAUGAGGGAAAGGAAAAUAGUCAAACAGAACAUGAAUGCAUGUGGUUUGAGCUAUAAAAUACAAAGCAUGAAAAGUUACUCUUUAUAUUUCUAUCAUUGAAUUAGGUAAAUCAUAUCCUAUGGGAUUCCAAUUUUCCAAGUUUUACUGGAUAUGUAGUAGGCUUGAGAGAGAAAGGCCAUCAGUCCAUUUAGGGUAGACUACUCUUUAAUCUCAAUUACUAUGAUGGAAUAUAAUUCAGAUGAAGGGCCACAUUAGAAAAGGGUGGCUCCUAGAUCAUUUAGAAAGAAAACACAAGGUGACAGAUAACAAAGAAGAAAUGGGCUCGAGUUCAGUUUUACCAAAUGAUUGGUGCUAUGGAUCUCCCGGAGUGAAGCUUCAAGGAAUGCUUGAUAGGAAAAAAAAAAAGAAGAAAAAGGAGCUACUGUUCAAAGUCUUAGUCUUACUUGUAGAGAUUUGAUGAAAUGAUCAACUUGAGCACUAUUUUUUCGUCUGAAAAAGAAGGGCUUAGGAUUUGAUGCUCAGACAUAACUUAAUUAAUCCUAUGAUCAGUCAACACAAAUGAAAAGAACCUCUCCAGAAAUGAAGCAAGCCAUUUUUUUCAUUAGAUUUAAUCUAUUCAGAGGUAGGACUGCUGAUGUCAGUACCUAGUGAUAAUGAUACAUGCAGGUUCGCCUUCAUAUGCUGGGAUUGAUGGGGUGCCUUGAGCCCUUUUCA